rnacentral:tRNA from 1 species
GCGGGUAUAGGUUUAGUGGUAAAA